rnacentral:rRNA from 1 species
CCCUUAGACGUUCUGGGCCGCACGCGCGCUACACUGACCAGUGAAACAAGCAUCCGUCCUUGGCCGACAGGCCCGGGCAAUCUUUGAACGCUGGUCGUGAUGGGGAUAGACUUUUGCAAUUUUUGGUCUUCAACGAGGAAUUCCUAGUAAACGCAAGUCAUCAACUUGCAUUGAUUACGUCCCUGCCCUUUGUACACACCGCCCGUCGCACCUACCGAUUGAAUGGUCCGGUGAAGCCUCCGGAUUGGCGCGCACCUCGGUGCCGCCGAGAAGUUGGCUAAACCUUACCAUUUAGAGGAAGGUGAAGUCGUAACA